rnacentral:rRNA from 1 species
CCUACGGGAGGCAGCAGUGGGGAAUAUUGCACAAUGGGGGCAACCCUGAUGCAGCAACGCCGCGUGUAGGAAGACGGUCUUCGGAUUGUAAACUUCUGUCCUUAGUGAAGAAUAAUGACGGUAGCUAAGCAGCAAGCCACGGCUAACUACGUGCCAGCAGCCGCGGUAAUACGUAGGUGGCAAGCGUUGUUCGGAAUUACUGGGGGUAAAGGGAGCGCAGGCGGGAAGCCAAGUCAGCUGUGAAAACUACGGGCUUAACUUGUGGACUGCAGUUGGGACUGGUUAUCUUGAGUGAAGUAGAGGUUGGCAGAAUUCCGUGUGUAGCGGUGAAAUGCGUAGAGAUGCGGAGGAACACCGGUGGCGAAGGCGGCCAACUGGGCUUUGACUGACGCUGAGGCGCGAAAGUGUGGGGAGCAAACAGGAUUAGAUACCCGGGUAGUC